rnacentral:rRNA from 1 species
UACAGAGGUCUCAAGCGUUGUUCGGAUUCAUUGGGCGUUAAGGGUGCGUAGGCGGCGCGGUAAGUCGGGUGUGAAAUCUUGGAGCUUAACUCCGAAACUGCAUUCGAUACUGCCGUGCUUGAGGACUGGAGAGGAGACUGGAAUUUACGGUGUAGCGGUGAAAUGCGUAGAUAUCGUAAGGAAGACCAGUGGCGAAGGCGGGUCUCUGGACAGUUCCUGACGCUGAGGCACGAAGGCCAGGGGAGCAAACGGG